rnacentral:rRNA from 1 species
GACGAACGCUGGCGGCGUGCUUAACACAUGCAAGUCGAACGGAAAGGCCCUGCUUUUGUGGGGUGCUCGAGUGGCGAACGGGUGAGUAACACGUGAGUAACCUGCCCUUGACUUUGGGAUAACUUCAGGAAACUGGGGCUAAUACCGGAUAGGAGCUCCUGCUGCACGGUGGGGGUUGGAAAGUUUCGGCGGUUGGGGAUGGACUCGCGGCUUAUCAGCUUGUUGGUGGGGUAGUGGCUUACCAAGGCUUUGACGGGUAGCCGGCCUGAGAGGGUGACCGGCCACAUUGGGACUGAGAUACGGCCCAGACUCCUACGGGAGGCAGCAGUGGGGAAUAUUGCACAAUGGGCGGAAGCCUGAUGCAGCAACGCCGCGUGCGGGAUGACGGCCUUCGGGUUGUAAACCGCUUUCGCCUGUGGCGAAGCGUGAGUGACGGUAAUGGGUAAAGAAGCACCGGCUAACUACGUG